GAAAUUCCAUGUUCCUUCCACAAAUGAAAUGUUCCUUUUGCAAGCUUGUUUUGGUGGGGUUCCUGCCUCCACCCAGGCUGUAUAAACAAAACCAGCACUGAAAGUAAAAGUACCUGUUCUGCACUGUGUGCAGGGCUCCCUUCACUUCUUAUGUUAACUGUGGUGUGACAGCCACCUUCCAUCUCCUCAGUGACAUGCACAGCUGAGCCUCUGCAAGGUGAGCAGCACGUGCCAUCCCACGUGGGUCCUCUGGGAGAUGGCAGACAUGUCCCAGAUCACCUGCUGACAGACAUGAAAAAUCCAAGUCAGAACUUUAUGGAAAAGCAGAAAACAACACACUAGCCAGCACAGCUAACCUGUCACAGCAGCUCCACUGUAUUUGUCAAGACCAGAGGGAGGGAGCUGGAGCCUUUCACCAGCUGGAGCAAUUCCAGGCAGCAGCCACAGCCCUUGAAUGCAGCCCUUUCAAACGCCCAUUUUGUGCAAACUGAGCCAAGCACAGGCAUAAGGAGCUUCAGGCUCUUUGUAUGGCUGUGAAAGGGGCGGCACCUACAGAGCCCGCUCGAGGACCCUCUGGAGGAUUGCACUUCAGCGCUGGAGAGCGCCCUGAGCUAGCCACGUGCGUGAUGCUGGCAGGCAAAAAGCAGUUGUUUAUUCUCCUAGGAAACGAUCCAUCUGAAAACGUUUCAAAUGCCACCAGCACAAUAUAGCCGUAGCAACCCACAGUGUGUGACACAACCAAAGGCAGGGGCGUGCUUUUUGCACUCUGACGGGAUGGUGAAACAGCCGCCUGUGCUAGCUGGGUCCUACCCCUCCCUGUUUCCUCAAGAUCUUAUCCCUCUCCACAAGCACUGCAGCCCAUGCAACUGUGCGAUGAGCCAGCGGGCUGGGCCAGACAAAAGCUAAUCCUUUUGCAGGAUCCCUUUGCAGCAAAGGGAUGGGCCUUAGAGCCCAGAUGGGCUCCCUGAACAGUGCCAGCGUGCAGUGACAGGGCUGCCAGCGCGGGCCCAGCGUGGCACCCAGCAGGGACUGAAGGCAGCUGUUUCUGACUCUGGGCCUGUGCCCUCGCCUGCUCACACUGAGAGGAAUGACGAGUUUGUCUUCACAAACAAGCCGUGGGUCUGCUGGUAGAUAAAACUAGCACUGAGAGAUAAAAGAAACAAUGGGAAGGAUUCCACUGAUUGAUGAAUGGAAAAAGAUAUUUGCCUUUACAAACAAACUGUAGGUUUGCUGAUAAAUGAAAUUGGAUAUUGAAAGAUGAAAGAAACAGUGGGGAAAACCCCUAAAUUCCAUAAGAAUUAAAAAUUAAAAAGGAGGGUUAUACAUUAGUGGGAAAUCUUCGGUAUCAGGGGUUCUGGGAAGUCUGUACCUCUCAAGUACCUCAGCCAAUGGGGAAAGAGAAGGGAAAUGUGCUCAGGAAAUCAGGAUAAAAAGGAGGCUACGUCCUCCAAAAAUUUGAGAGACCCCAGGGGAAUGCCCCAUGGCCUCUCCCUUUAUUCAAAAAAAGUAAAAGAACUCCGCUGUCUCCUUUUUGGACAUAAACCUCUGAUGUUUGUGCAUUAAUUUUCCUGACAACAGCCUAAUGUCAUGCACCUGAGCACAGAAGCUCAAAGAAGGCCCUGUGCCCGCUCUGCCCUCGCAGCACAUCUCGGUCUUUCCAGCGCUUUUGAAAGCUCCAUGUUCCAGCAGAGCAGGAUUGCAGCAUGGAUCUAUCCUCACAAGUCGAUUCUUGUUACAAAGCACAAGUGCUCAGGUACUGUUUGGCAUGUGUUUUGAUUUGCCACCAAAGUGGGAAAGCAUCACACACUUGCACUUGUUAUUAUCUGUAUUUGAAAUAAAGACUGUAACAUCACUUUGCAAAUA